rnacentral:rRNA from 1 species
CCUACGGGAGGCAGCAGUGAGGAAUAUUGGUCAAUGGGCGCGAGCCUGAACCAGCCAAGUCGCGUGAGGGAAGACGGUCCUAUGGAUUGUAAACCUCUUUUGUCGGGGAACAAAAGACGCCACGCGUGGCGUUCCGAGAGUACCCGAAGAACAAGCAUCGGCAAACUCCGUGCCAGCAGCCGCGGUAAUCCGGAGGAUGCGAGCGUUAUCCGGAUUUAUUGGGUUUAAAGGGUGGGAAGGCGGAAGAUCAAGUCAGCGGUAAAAUUGAGAGGCUCAACCUCUUCGAGCCGUUGAAACUGGUUUUCUUGAGUGAGCGAGAGGUAAGCGGAAUGCGUGGUGUAGCAGUGAAAUGCAUAGAUAUCGCGCAGAACUCCGGUUGCGAAGGCAGCAUACCGGCGAUCAACUGACGCUCAUGCACGAAGGUGAGGGGAUCGAAAGGGAUUAGAUACCCCAGUAGUC